CCAACAGUCAUGAUAGUGACUUCAUGGCCAGAACCCAGAAGCUCCUUUGCAAAGUAAAACCCAAUAACUGCAUGACCAACAGUGUAAGGACCUUCUUCUUCUCUGCGGCACUGGCCUUGACAGUGAAGGUAGAGGCAGAGGGGCGCCUUGAACAUGUGGGGUAUGUUAAAGAAGUUGGAGAAAUCGAGAGAAAAGAAGAGAAAAGGGAGGACUGA
rnacentral:misc_RNA from 1 species